CUUGCCGCGAAUUUCAACCAGUUUACCGUAUAGGGGCGCACAGAAGCUUUUUGGCUGUUUUUUAAAUACCUUUUACCUUUUGCAAAAAAUAUAAAAAGCAGGUUUACGGUGAGCGUAUAUACAUAUUUAAUAUAAUUCCAUGGCUACUCCUCCCAAAAGAUUUUGUUCAAGCCUCGAGGCUGACCUCAUUGAAGAUCUCAGUAGAGGGAAACAUUGGAGCUCAGAACAUCCCAGAAGAGUGGAGGCAACCUGCUGCAGAUGUUAUAUGACAAGCCCAGCCUUGGUCCUACACUUUCCAGACCUACACCUGCCUGAGUCGUGUCCGUUCACAGCUUCAGCCUCCUUCUGCCAAGAUUCAGGAGGCUGAGAAACCAGUCCAGUUCUUUGAGCGUUCGGUCUUAAGUGACCAGUACAUAACAUAUUCUCUCCAUAAUUUAGAAGCUUUCCUUUGGAAAGUAGAUGAACAUGGUUAGGAGAAUUUUAAAGUGAUGGAAUUGGUUGGAGUUAUGAUUACUUGUUUUCGGCAUUCACUGAAAGUGAAUAUUUAUUGAAAGUCUUAUGUUUAUGUUUUUGUAGAUAUGUGUUUACCUCCAACCUCUUUGAGUCUGGAAAUCUGAAUGAGACUGAGUGGGCCAUCUACCAAGACUGGCAUUCAUGGCUCCUUCACUCAGUUUGAGUCUUAGAUUGAGCUGGAUGCCAUGAUCUAUCUUCGUGCUGAUCCCGAGGAGAUGUAUGCAGCGUCUUCAGUUCAGAGGGCGAGAAGAGGAACAGGGGAUUCCACUGGAGUAUUUAGAGAAGCUGCAUUAUAAGCAUGAGUGUUGGCUGUACAAUCGAACCACAAAAUUAGUGAACAUUUUAAUAUGUGCUAAAACUUAUUUGUGAGCUGUUUGUAGUUCGUUGUUGACCUACAAAGGUGUAAUUGACAAGGUAUAUACAGUAUAUUUAGGUCUGUGGCCAGUAUUUUAAUAUUCAGUAGUAUUGCAUUAUCAUUCUUUUGCAUUUUUAGUAAAAUAUUUUAGAAAUGCCAUGUUUGGACAUGAUCUAAAAUCACUGUAUUUGUUUCUGUUAUUUUCAGGUGAGGGAGUUUCUGAGCACUCUGUAGCAUCGAAAUAUUAAGAUCUGUGUAUAUCAUGUAUACUGGUGAUUUAUCACUAGUUUAAUGGAUCAAUGCCUGUUGUCACUUGAAUGAAUUAUUAUGAUUUUUGUUUUUCCUGCUUUUAUAUUUUGCUUAUUGUAUAUAUGUAUUUGAAUUCUGUAUUAUUAAAACUUGAUUUGUAUUAUUUAACACAACUGUAUAUAAUGUAUUAGAAGCAGAACAGUAUGUUAAAAUAUGAAGAGCACAAAACAUCAAUACACAUGCUUGUAGUAAAAAGUCAUGUGGCAGCACUGAAAAAAAAAGGAUUUGUGAGAAUAAAAUUAGCGUGGCUUGUAUUUUCAGUCAUGCAACAUUUGUCGUUAGAAAAAGUACAGAUGUAAUAUGGAUAUAGUAUACAUUUAAAUAUGACAGAUGGAUGUUGUGGCAUUGUUAUACAUUGGACAGCAUUAAUUUAGAGUUGGUAUGACAGUGGGAGUAAAACUGAAAAGGUUCAAGUUUGAAGUAGGUCAUUAUUAAGAUCUGAAUCGAUUUCCAAAAUAAACUUGAAUAGAAAGAUAAAAUGUAUGGGAUUUCAUAAUCAAUAAUUUCUGCAUCUUAAGACACGAUCCUCAUGCUGCAUGCUGAACUAAUUACUUAAACUAGUAGACACCACAAAAGUCAAAAUGUGUCAUUUGGGAUAAUGGCUGAAUGCAAUUGAAGUUUCACAUUUCACCAAAAUCAUGAGGUUGGUGUACCUAUUUUGGACAAAUGGAUCACACUUAUAAAUUCAAAGGAAUCUGGUUUUCAGGUUAUUUUAUCUCCUCUUACUAUAACAAUAAUGACUAUUGCUUUCAAGCUCCUUUCAGACAUUUUUUUGAACCACUUAACUAAAUAA